UGAAGUGACUGGCUUAACCUUGAAGGAGCUGGGGGUGGUGACAACCAACAAGGAGCUCUGGCAUGGACUGGUCCAUGAGGUCACGAAGAGUCGGAAGUGACUGAACAAAUAAACAACAGGUGUAAGCCCUCAUCUCUGCCCCUCUACUCAAGCACACUCCACUAGCUGAAGAGACUCUGUAUCAAAGUGGAGAAGAUCUUGAAAGAACUACGCCUGAGAAGAAAGAUCUCAGACUUCUAGACUCAAAGAAUUC
rnacentral:lncRNA from 11 species